rnacentral:lncRNA from 1 species
UGUGCCUCACCACAUCCACAGUGGGAGUGCGGUAAUGGUGUUAUGAGAACCCUUAUGUAUUAAAGACACUAUUGGUUUGAUGUGAAUAGAAUUUGGUAUUUAAUAUGAAAUCUGAAUAGUGUUAUUUGAGGCAGAGCAACAUACCUAUUAAACUUUAGAGCUAGGAAGUAACUUGGUCUGUGGAAGGAGGGUUUACAGCAGGGGAAUACUGCGGCUUUUGCUAAAAUGAUUUCAAAUUUUCAAAUAUCUGAAUUAAACACAUGAGAUUGUAAUUUUCUUCAUGUAUGUCUAUGAUGUCGUUAUACAACAGUCAAUUUUAAUGAAAACAUAAAUAUUUAAGUCAUAAUUUCUCCUUUUCAAUUUUUCUCAUCUAGAAGGAGCUGGCAAACAGCCCUGACUGUCCCCAGAUGUGUGCCUAUAAGCUGGUGACCAUCAAAUUCAAGUGGUGGGGACUGCAAAGCAAAGUAGAAAACUUCAUUCAAAAGCAAGAAAAACGGAUAUUUACAAACUUCCAUCGCCAGCUUUUUUGUUGGAUUGACAAGUGGAUCGAUCUCACGAUGGAAG